GAGUUUGAUCGUGGCUCAGGACGAACGCUGGCGGCGUGCCUAACACAUGCAAGUCGAACGGAGCCCGCAAGGGUUCAGUGGCGAACGGGCGCGUAACACGUGAAGAACUUGUCCAUCGGCGGGGGAUAGCCGGCCCAACGGCCGGGUAAUACCGCGUACGCUUGUCGGGUGGCAUCAUCUGACAAGGAAAGCAGCAAUGCACCGAUGGAGAGCUUCGCGGCCUAUCAGCUUGUUGCGGGGUAAUGGCCCACCAAGGCGACGACGGGUAGCUGGUCUGAGAGGAUGACCAGCCACAUUGGGACUGAGACACGGCCCAGACUCCUACGGGAGGCAGCAGUGGGGAAUAUUGCGCAAUGGGCGAAAGCCUGACGCAGCGACGCCGCGUGUGGGAUGACGGCCUCGG
rnacentral:rRNA from 1 species